UACGGAGGGUGCAAGCGUUAUCCGGAUUCACUGGGCUUAAAGGGUGCGUAGGCGGGUAAGUAAGUUUGGUGUGAAAUCUCCUGGCUCAACUGGGAGGGUGCGCCGGAAACUGGAGUGCUUGAGCGUGGGAGAGGAAAGCGGAAUUCCUGGUGUAGCGGUGAAAUGCGUAGAUAUCAGGAGGAACACCUGUGGUGUAGACGGCUUUCUGGACCAUAGCUGACGCUGAGACACGAAAGCGUGGGUAGCAAACAGG
rnacentral:rRNA from 1 species